AGAAAAGGCCAGUGUACAAAAAGAGGCUUUAAAGCUGGGCAUGGUGGCUCACGCCUGUAAUCCCAGCCCUCGGGAGGCAGAGGCAGGAGAAUUGCCAUGAGUUCGUGGCCAGCCUGAGCUACAUAGUGACUUCAGGGCCAGCCUGAACUAUAAAAUGAGACCCUGUCUCCAAACAAACAAACAAACAAACAAAAAAAAACAAAAAACCGAGGCUUUAAAUGUGUGACACGCACAGAGACGAAUUGAACUUCUCAUCCUUUCUCUAAUUAGAAGUUCACCAAAUUACAUUGUCAUGAACAUAUUAAAGGGUUCUUCGUGUGCCAGAGAGCGUACUAGGUGCCAGAAUCUUUAAGAAACUCAGAAUCCAGCUAGGAAAGUACAAAUGAAAAGAGUUACAGUAAAAAGAGCAAGUGUUAAUUAAACACCCAGAGCUGCCAGUCUUGUUGCUGACACGACAAGAAUGAGCGGACUAAGCGUCCAAGACGAGCAAACGGUGAAGAGCAGUGCCCGACAGCUUGGGGAACAGCAAGCGGUUUCUCCCUGCUGGAGGGUGUGUGGAUGGCGGGGUUGAGAAGUGAAUCGGGAAAAACGUGUGUGGGCUGAACCACAGCGGGACUGACGUUUGCGUGAGGAGCCCUUGGAGGGGAUCUGUAGGCACAAGGUCGCCGGGGAAAGUGAGCUGCAGAUGCGCCACCGGGAAGGUCAUUUUGAUGGCAGUGGUCAGGGAAGUGCUGGGGAAGCAGAGGCAACACCGCAGGGCUCGAGUGUGACCGUUCACUGUGGCUCACCAGGAAGCGGGCACGCGGGUGCCUGUGUGCGGAAGAGUGGGUGGUGGGAGAGUGAGCCAGACGGGGCUGCUCAUAUGAGGCUUUUCCAGUAUAUGCUCCUCUGCAUGGAGAAGGAAGGCAGGGGCCAGUAACCGUGGGACCCGGGGCUCUGACACUUCCGCUGAGCUCCAGCCAAGUCUUCCAAACUCCGCACUGGCCUCAGACCCAACACGUCUGAAAUCCGACCCAAUGUCCCAACGUGCAUCUCCUCCUGAAGCCCCACUGUCCUGACUGCCGUCCCUCUUUAUCCAGGCUGGAGGCCUCAGUUGACCUUUACUUUUCUCUGUUCUUUCUCCUCCAAACCCCAUCGGUCAGUCACUCGGCUAGGAUUUUACUGAGCCAAGCGUGUCUCAGGCCCCCUCCAAAGUUCUUCAGGAAAUAAAUGUGGAUCGGACAGUAUCUUUGUUCCAAAGAAUCUCUUGGUACACGGUGAGACAGGACGCAGCCGGUGAAGUGCCUGACGCAGCUCAGACCACUGUCAGUAGUCCAGACACUGAAACGUGUGGGCCAGUUGCAGCAGGUCAUACGAGGUCAUUACAGCUCUGCGUUCCCACUGCCUAAGUACGGAGUGGACGUCUGCUCUACUGUGCAGGGUUAGCGAUGGG
rnacentral:lncRNA from 1 species